GAAAUACAAGCCCAAACCCGUUUAAAUUUCUUAGCCCAAAAAAUAAAGAAAUCCUAAAUCAGCUAAGGUAUCUAUUGUUUACUCCAUCACAUUCGCUCCCACAGUUUCACUCGUUCUAUUACCCCUUUGCUCUUUCAAGCAAAAGCUUCAGUAUUCUUAACCAUGGCAGAAGCUUGCCUCGACGAUUUUGAGUAAGUUCUUUGUCUCUCUUCAAAGCCCGUGACUCCUUCUCUCUCUCAUUUGCAAUGAGAUUUAGUCAACACAACAUGCCAAAAGACUUUUGCCAUUUCGAUUUUUCUGACCAAAUCACGUGAGGCUCUUCCGAAUUACAACGUUCGGAUUCAAACGGUUGUUUUGACUGAAAUUCAAGCCCUUGAUUUCAAAUUUCUGCUCAAGAGAUCCCGCCCAAAAAAUCAUCUCUGAACCCUAAUUUUCUUCUAUAAAUACUCUCGGGGAGUUUCUGGAGCGGGGGACACUGGACAAGAAUCAGAAAUACUAUUUUAUCACUCACAUAUUUGAUGUAGUCUACAACUCAAGAGUCUCUUACAAAAGUUUUCUGUCUCGGUGAACUUUAGCCGUGACAGAGAUUUUGGAACUCAUUCCGAUCGAGGUUCGAAUCUUUACAUAAUGAGAGAGUAGAUUAGGGGCCGACAUCGUCCUAGUUCACUGCCCCCAAACAAGUCAGUGCUCUUUCUUUCCCUUUCUUUCCUCUGACAUGUAGUUCAAAGAGUAUUGAUUUGAUUCUCUGAUAUUGUGUGUUUAGAUGCUAUGACUAUAGGAAUAUAUUAUUUCCAUGUAACUGAAUGAUAAAUGGCGAUAAAAAUGCUUAACGUGAUAUCAUGAUUUAGCUAACUUUAAUAGCUUGUUCUGGUCUAUUAACAGUAAAUGCUAAUAUACCUCACCUGUUACUGUUUGUCAUAUGAAAAAUUCAUGCUUCAAAAGUUCCGUCGUAGUCAGCUUUAUUUUCUUCCUUUCCCUUUUCAAUUACGGAAUUUGUAAGCUUGAAGGACCAAAGUCGGCACCACUUUUAAAAAAAUAUAUGAAAGCUAUCUUCUACGCCUUUUCUUUGUUAUUUCAAGAAUUCAAAUCGAUUUUGAGUUCAUUUUAAAUAGUUUUAAAAGUUCAAGUGUUAAACCCAUUUUCGCCACUUUAUAAUUCCUGGGCUACUUAUACAGAUAUGAUAACAAAAAAUAUUUUGCUACUGCCUAAAGGCCUUUUUACAUUAAGUUGAACUGUUAAUUUUUAGUCUUCACAUCAAGCUAACUGAUGCUUUUGGAAACGUAUCAACAGGUUUCGAUAUUUGAUUUAGCACUGCCCUUUUAAUAAUUAUAUUUUGCACACUUCUAUAUGUUUAGACUUAACACCUACCCUUAGCCUUAAUUAGUUUAAGUUCGGUCGGUUAACCAUUCGAUAUGGAUCUUAAAGGGUGCCUUAAAAACCUCCCCUUUAGAUUAAUUGAACCCUUACCUAGAACUUUAGGUUAAUUGGACCAUUAGCAGAGUUAUACUUUAUAAAAUUACUUUAAUCACUUUAGGUGUCCUAAUUCACCUUAGAAAUAAUUAGGUGGCGACUCUUAAAAUUAAUUAAACCUCGGAAUUACCAAUAUGUUAUACUCUAGUUUGACCUGGGUUAAAAUGGGAUAUAACACGCAUAUCGUGCCAUGCCGCCCCAACUUUGCCCACACUUCCUUGUCAAGCCUUUGCUAAGCAUGUCUUGCCUGCCCCAAGACCUUGGUCAAUACUUGCCCACAACAGCCCACACGACAAUGUCUUGUCCAUUGCGUGCAUGAUCGUUUUGCCCGCACAUAGGCUAAUGAUAAGGCCAUCAUGCCCAAUCCUUGCCACAACCGCGCCAUGCCUGAUGUUAAAGAGUUAGUCCCCUAACAUUCAUCCCUCUUGACGCUCCCACACCUAUUCAUAUAUAACCUAAUAGAAAUGUCCUUCUUCGUGUGUUUAUCUAUCAAAUCUUUGAGUGUUUUUUUCCACUAAAAAAGAAAAUAGAAAGUAUAUUUAUAAAAGAACGAGGAUAAAUGAAAAGGGAGAAAUUCUUUUUUUUUCCCCUUGUUUCUUCUUGUACAAGGGGCAAUGAUUUAGAUUUUUAAGUAGGGGGUAAAUUUCACAAAUGGUCAUAUAACUAUGAUUUGUUUUUCACCAAAGUCAUAUAAGUUUGUUUUCUCACACAAAAAUCAUAACAAUGGCUUUUUUUCACAAAAGUCAUAUAACUUUGGUUUCUCACACAAAAAUCAUAAAACUUUCACUAUCUCAGAUAAAAAUCAUAAAGGCCAUGAAACAAUUUUUUUUCUUAUUUUGCAUGCUUUUAUUUUUUAUUUUCAGUCUAAUAAAUAAUUACCCAAGUAAAAUAGGAGAAAUAUGAGCAUAUUUUUAGCCCUCCCAAAAAUAAUAGCUGAUAAAGUGUCAUAUAUAUCACACACAUACACACAUACACACACACACACACACACACACAUAUAUAUAUAUAUAUAUAUAUAUAUAUAUAUANNNNNNNNNNNNNNNNNNNNNNNNNACACACACACACACACACACACACACACAUAUAUAUAUAUAUAUAUAUAUAUAUAUAUAUGACAUUUUUCUAGCAAAUGUAAUUAAUUACGACCGAUCGGCUAAUUUUAUAUUUUGUCUUUAAAGUAGGAAUGACCUAGCAGAGCAUGGCCCAAUAACCAUAUACAAAUUAAAAUAAUACAAAAAGUGAAUAGUGAAUUAUUUAAAAUAUGAUACUUCUAUUUUAAUUGAGUCGGGUGGAUCAGGUCGGGUUGGGUCAUCCCUAUUUUAAUUGAAUUAUUAUUAAUUAGAAUGAAAAUAAAUAAAAAAACUACAAAAUAAAAAAUACUAUUGAAAAAUUGUAUUUUUCGAUCACUAUGAUCUUUGUGUGAGUUAGUAAAAGUUUUACGAUUUUUGUGUGAGAAAACAUAAUUAUAGGACUUUUGUAAAAAAAAAAAAGUAUUUAUAUAAUUUUUGGGUGAGAAAGUUAUAUGACUUUGGUGAAAAAAGUCAUAAUUAUAUAACAAUUUUUGAAAUUUACCCUUUUAAGUACGACGAGCAAAGAGCACAGAUAAUGGAAAAGGAGUAGUUUUCUUGGUAUACGACAAUUAAACCUUUAGUUACGUUUACUUUCUAUCCGCCCCUUUUUUCUCGCGAAAUCGGGUUUAUGACAUUUUUGGUUGGGACAACUCUUUCCUUUGGAAAGAGGGUUUGCAUUUUUGAAGAAUUGCCACCUAACGAUUUAAGGUGCGUUAGGGCACCUAUAGGGUUUAUUUAUAACCACGUUUGAUAAUCAGAGACAGAGUAAGUGCUUGAAAUUAUCCUAAAGGGAAGGUGUUAGGCACCCCUCAAGAUCCACUAGUGUGGUUUCCGACCAAACAGUUUUUGUGAAUUUGUACAAGUAGCAAAUAAACAAGUAUGGCUUUGAAAAGAAUUACAAUCUAAGCAUAUUUGGAAAUGUAAAUGGGGUAUCCUAGGUUUGUUUAUAGUAUGGAUCACAUCAAUGCAAUACCCGGUAUGACACUCCUCAAAGAGGGGCUACACAUGGUAUUAAGCACUGGUAAUCAUAUCCAUAUCUACCCGCCCCGUGAAGGUAAUUAAAGCGAGGGUUGGUCUCGACCCCUAUUGCAUGCUGUUACUCAUCCCUUCCUAUCAGUACCGGAGCAAUUUAGGACUCCUAUCCUAUAAAAGAGGGUUCUAGGCAGACCCUCAUGUUUAAAGGUAAAAUAGUAAGGCGACAUAUAAUAAACAAGUAGGACUUCAAUUAAGGGGAGCAUGGAAAACCAGUAAAAGGCUCAGAUAUACCUCCACAUACAGUACAUACAAACUACAUGACUCAUACACAAUUAAGGUCUAAAUUCAGAUCCUAAACAUGGUAUCUAAGUGAUAACAUCAGAGUCAGAUUUAUGACAUAACUCAAAUAAGAAGUCCUAAUCAAGCUUGCUACUGAUUUUAACAUGCUGACAGUCAAAAACUAAUCACAAAGACGAUUCUGAUUUUAUUUGAAGUUGAUUACCUAAGACUUGCCUAAGCGUAAAAUAAUGUGCAGCAGUUACUAGAAUUGUUGAAAUAGUUUGGAAGUUAUUUUACUUAAAACAUGUUGUUCUAAGUGUUGCAAAGACAUGCAGGGAUUGUGAUUAGUUUCACUUAAACAGGAUAAUCAAACAUGAGAUUGUUUUAUGCCCUUUUUCAUGCAUCAGUAGUUUAAUUAGGUGUAACUGAGCGAGUGUGAACAAGAUCCUAAAAUAGGGUAUAUAACAUGCACGUAUGAAAAUGCAGAAGGAUUGCAGAAUUCCUAAAGCAUGGAUUCUAAUGCAUGUAUGAAUCCUAAGCAUGGUUUCUAUUACGCAAUUAGGAAUAUAAACCUAAUAACAUGUUUUCUAUCCUUAACAACUAUAACAUGCAUAUUUACCCCAUCCCUUUUCACUAUCCAUCCCCAAAGAGUUUUUACAAUAAUUAUUACAAACCGAUGCUGAAAUGAAUUACACAAGUAAAAAGUAGAAAGUUACACAAUAGAGAGCCUGAAGACAAGACCAGAUUCUCAACACCUGAUGAGGACUUCCUCUUUGAGUUAUGUAAUAAAUUACCUCAAAUGUCAAGAUUGUUCCAUAGCCUUUCUCAUAUCUGAGUGUGUCAAAGUUCCCUAAGGACCUCAAGGGAUCCCAGACAGUGCUCACACCCAGAUUUCAUAGCAAAGAUAGAGUAAGUGCAGUGUGGAAGAGCCAACCUUAAUGUGUCAAAGUUCAGAGGGAGCUCAAGGGUCCCAAGGCAAUGCUCACACAAAAGGGGCAGAACUUAGUGGUCUAAGAGUAGAGUGAGAGUGCUCGACAUAGUUUUGAAGAAUUUAAGUAAGAAAACAAUUUUAAAAAAGGGUAAGCAAGAAACAGUUUUGAAAAAGAGAGACUUAAUUGGAAUAGUUAUAUGACAAAUUUUAAAUGAUGAAAACAAUUUGAAGGAGCAUGCAUACCAAUCUCCGAACCAAAACAAAGUCAGUAUCACACUAAGGACCAGGAAUAGUCCAGCAAACAUAAGCAAGGGAAUGGGAUUGGAGGGACAAAUAUGGAGCAUUUGACGGCAAACAUGUAGCAGGCAGGAACAUAUACAAGCACACGAUCAGAAACUCCAACAGGUUAGGGGAACAGUAGGGUAUUGGAUUAGAUUAACAUAUCAACAUCAAACAACUGAGACCCUGAUCAAACCAAUCAUGGGGGUUCACAUAAGAAACAUGUACUAAGUGUACAGAAACAUGCUUGUCAUUGACAAGUAAGGCAUAAUUUAACAUGUAGAGGGAACUCAGGAUCCUAAUUACAUUUUGAACAACAAAAAUAGUAAAUAAAAGCAUAUCAGAAGUGCAAGGAAUUGUAACAGUAAUAGAAACAUGUUGGUUUGAGGACUGAAAUAUGAAUUAGAACAUACUAGUGAAGUGAAGAAAGCAAAACACAAAGCAGAAAUAGGAGAGGUGCAGUAAUUAGCCUUGUCUAGCAGCCGGCUAGCUUGGAAUAGUAGCAAGUAGCACAAAAGAGAGAAUAGAGAGUUUUAGUUGUGAGAGAGAGUUUUGAACUACUAUGUUCGUGUCCAUGCUAAAGAGAGAGUAGAGUAUUUAUAGUUUUGAAAAUAGGCAGAAAAUAAGGUAACAAGUAAAGGUUUAGCAUAAUUAUAGAAAUAAUAUAAAUCAGAAUCAAUUAAAGACCCGGACUCUCUUCAAUUAGGGAGUCAUAGUUCAAAUGGGUACAAGUUGUAUCAAAUAAGGAACAAAAUUACUUAUAAGACUGAUUUUACCAUAAUAUGAGUAGUAAAAGUAUGUAGCAUGUAAUAAGGACUAAGUACAGAGUAUUUCCAAGUAAGGAAAGUACACGUUAAAUAACUAACAACAUAUUUGUGCACAUAAAUAAGGUGGAGUACAAUUUUAAUUCUGAAAGUUAGUUCAAAGAAUCACGAAUGAGAUUGAAAAUCACAGGGAAUCAGCACUAACUAAGGAAAGUAUCACAAAAGUAAGGAACCAAUUCGAAAAAUCAGUAUAGAAUUACAAGAAAAAUACACAAAAUCACAGAUUCAGGGAAGAUAUCGCAGGUCUAAGGAGAUUACACAAAAAUCAAUAUAAAUUAUUAUGUGAACAAUCAAUAAAACAAAUAGUCGGACCUAUUAAACAAUAAAUAACAUGUGUUGAACAAAAUCAGAGAAACCUUAAGAACAAAUUAGAGCAGGAAGCACAAGAGCUUAUAGAACAUACAUGAAACCUAGAAUGUUCAUGAGAGACAUGCAAACACAUCGCAAACAGACUCAUACUUCAAAUCGAACCCAUAAGUAUUAGGGUUUCUUAACAAAAAUGAAUCAAGCAAAAGGAAAGACUCAAGUGAUGUUUAAACAUGCUAAAAAUCACAAAGUAAUUGCUAAAAAUCAUAAAGAAAUCGUUUUUGCAAAAGGGUUUUGAAACCCUAGUCUGGAAAAUGAGGAAAUCGUUUGAAAUCAGAGAAAUCUUUUGAGGAAAAUAGGUGAGAAUCUUAAAAGACACAUAGAUCCUUCACAGGUCUAAAAAGAUCGGAGGAUUGAAAGCUAGGGUUUCCAGAGAAAACCCAAAGGAGGAGAAGAGAGCUUAAAAUAUCACCGGCCUUUGGCCGAAAAAUGUAGAGAUCUUACUCGAACGGCCAUAGGUGGCCGAAAAACAUGGCAUGAGAUUGGAGAUGGGAGUGGACUGCCUCAGGGUCACUUGAGAGCCUCCACCGGUGACACAAGUGUGAAAGACGAAUCCAUAAGGUCGAUGAGAGGUGAAAACUUCAUCGUUUCCGGCGAGGAGAUGGCCGGAGAGGGGAGAGACAGAGCUCAGGAGACGAAGGUUUUAGAAAGAGUUGAGAUGAUUUCGAGAGACGGGUGAGAAGUGAGACGGGGGAAAACUGAGAAAGGGGGGCAGUCGUUUAGGGGUUAAUAUGGUAAGUAUUAAUCUGGGCCGUUGAUUUGAAUUAAUCAACGACUCAGAUCGAACGAGAGUUGGGCCGGGUAAGAUUCUAAAUUUGUGUUGGGUAACUGGGCUAGUUUAUUGGGUUAGGGGUUUGGGUUAAUUAGGCUAGAAUUGAAAUUUAAAAAUGGCUAGUUGUUAAAUACCCCAUAAAAAUAGAUAAAUAAUUUAUAAAAAUGGCUAAUAAUUAUAAAAAAAGAAAUUGNNNNNNNNNNNNNNNNNNNNNNNNNNNNNNNNNNNNNNNNNNNNNNNNNNNNNNNNNNNNNNNNNNNNNNNNNNNNNNNNNNNNNNNNNNNNNNNNNNNNNNNNNNNNNNNNNNNNNNNNNNNNNNNNNNNNNNNNNNNNNNNNNNNNNNNNNNNNNNNNNNNNNNNNNNNNNNNNNNNNNNNNNNNNNNNNNNNNNNNNNNNNNNNNNNNNNNNNNNNNNNNNNNNNNNNNNNNGAAUGCAGAUGGAGACAACAUUUAGUCUCGGAAGGCAGAAUGGUAGCCUUAUGCAAGAAAUAAGAUAACAACUGGCAGUAGAGUUUUCUUAGCUGAUAGCAGAUUGCGGCGCUGUGAUUACUGGGAGCAUUGUGACAUACAGAACAUCACUGGUGUAUACUAAUAGCAAAUGUUGGCAAGUGCAACGGUUCUGAGAAUUGUAUUCUUGAACAAUGUUUGUCCCAUGGGCGUACAAUAUGUUUAAUGAUUUUGCAAUCCUAGUGCCUGCAUCCAAAGAAAAAUCGCGAGUUUUAUAAGGGGGAAGGUUAGUUCAUAUCCCCGCUGGCUUUGAUCUGGUAAUGCCGUCUGUAUUAUUGGGGUAGCGAUGCUAAACAAAUCAAUUUCAAUAAUAACAUGCAUGAUUUUAUAAAAGUAUGACAUAAAUUAAAAAAUAACUUUUAGAUGAACGAUGACUGUAACGUAGUUCAGGACAUUGUAACCUCUCUUGCUACAGAAUUUUGAGGGUCCUCCUUAAAACUCUGCCCCAGUUUGAUGGGUCGACGUUUCUGACUGCUGCUUGUACGGUGAUUGGCUGAAAUUACUUCGGAAUUUUGAGGGUCCUCCUCAAAAUUCUGCCCCAGUUUCCAAUUGCGGGGAAAAAUGAAAUUUUUAUUGAAUUGUGACAGAAACCAUAGGGCUGCCUACAUAUCCCCUCUUAAAUGAGAAUCAGGUCGGGCGUAGUUCAGUUUACGUCAUAUAAGGAAAGCAUGAAGAUUACACAUAGUAAUGCUUGACUGCAUCUGAAUUGAUCAGCUUUGGCCAGACUUCUCCGUCCAUUUCUGCAAGUAUGAGGGCUCCUCCUGUCAAAACCCGGUGAACCAUGUAUGGACCCUGCCAGUUGGGAGAGAAAUUCCCUUUGGCUUCAUCUUGAUGCGAAAAUUUUUUCUUUAACACCAGCUGCCCCGGUGCGAACUGUCUUGGCUUGACUCUUUUGUUGAAGGCUCUGGACAUUCUGUUCUGAUAGGGUUGACCAUGUCAGACUACAUUCAUUCUCUUUCCGUCUAUAAGGACUAGUUGCUCAUAAUGACUUUUUACCCACUCUGCGUCGUCAAGCUCAGCUUCUUGUAUGAUCCUUAGGGAAGGAGUUUCCACCUUAGCGGGAAUGACAGCCUCUGUACCGUAAACCAACAUAUAGGGGAUUGCCCCUGUUGAUGUGCGGACUGUGGUACGAUACCCUAGAAGAGCAAAUGAUAACUUCUCGUGCCACUUUCUGUGAUUCUUUAUCAUUUUCCUCAAUAUCUUCUUGAUAUUCUUGUUGGCGGCUUCUACAGCUCCAUUUAUUUAAGGCCUGUAGGCUGUGAAAUUCUUGUUUUUAAUCUUGAAAGUUUCGCACAUAGCUUUCAUCAAAUCGCUGUUGAGGUUGGAGCCAUUAUCAGUAAUGAUUGACUCUGGAAUUUCGAAUCGACAAACAAUGCAAUCGCGGACAAAGUCUGUCACGACUUUCUUAGUCACUGCUUUGUAAGAUGCUGCUUCGACCUAUUUGGUGAAAUAGUCGAUGGCUACCGGGAUAAACCUGUGUCCGUUAUAAGCAGCCGACUCGAUUGGUCCAAUAACGUUCAUUCCCCAAGCGGCGAAUGUCCACGAUGAGCUUGUUGUGUUAAGCUCGCUUGGAAGUACCUUUAUCAUGUCUGCAUGUAUCUUACUGUGAUGGCAUUUCCGGACAUACUGGAUGCAGUCCAUUUCCAUAGUUAUCCAAAGGUAACUUGCCCGGUGUAUCUUCCUUGCUAAGACAAAACUGUUCAUAUGUGGGCCGCAGGUCCCAACAUGAAUUUUCUCUAGUAGCCUUAAUGCUUCCAUUACGUCGACACAUCUUAAUAAUCCUAAAUCAGGAGUCCUCCUAUACAGGAUUCCUCCGCUAUGAAAAAAGUUGUUGGACAAUCUCCGAAAUGUGCGUUUCUGAGUAGGAUUCGCAAGCUCCGGGUACUCUCUUUUUGUUAAAUAUUCCUUGAUAUCAUGAAACUAAGGUUUUCCGUCUGCUUUCUCUUCAACAUGCGCACAGUAAGUUGGCUGAUUAUGGAUUUUCACCGGAAUGGGAUCAAUGAAAUUCUUGUCGGGAUGUUGUAUAAUAGAUGAUAGGGUAGCCAACACAUCGACGAACUCAUUCUGGAUUCUGGGAACAUGCUAGAAUUCCGUCUUCGUGAACCUCUUCCUCAAUUCCUAUACGUGAUGUAGAUACGAGAGUAUCUUGGAGUUCUUGGUUGUCCAUUCUCCUUGUACCUGAUGUAUAAGCAAGUCUGAAUCUCCAAUCACUAGCAGCUCUUGAAUAUUCAUGUCGAUGGCCAUUUUGAGUCCUAAGAUGCAGGCUUCAUACUCGGCCAUAUUGUUGGUGUAAGGGAACAUGAUUUUGGCAGAUACUGGAUAAUGCUGACCGAUUUUUGAUAUUAGAAUUGCUCCUAUGCCAACUCCUUUGAAGUUUGCUGCUCCAUCGAAGAACAUUCUCCAUCCGUCAUAGGAUUCCGCAAUGUCUUCUCCUAUGAAUGAUACCUCUUCAUCAGGAAAAUACAUUUUUAGGGAUUCGUAUCCUCCAUCCGCGGGGUUUUCAGCAAGGUGGUCUGCCAGUGCCUGUCCCUUGACCGCUUUCUAAGUUACGUAAACAAUGUUGAACUCACUCAACAGGAUUUGCCACUUGGCUAACUUGCCGAUGGGCAUGGGCUUCUGAAAGAUGUACUUUAAGGUAUCCAUUCUCGAUAUGAGAUAUGUAGUAUAGGUGCAGAAAUAAUGCCUCAGCUUCUGAGCUACCCAAGUCAAAGCACAACAGGUGCGUUCCAAUAGAGAAUACCGGACCUCGUAUGGGGUGAACUUCUUACUAAGAUAAUAAAUGGCUUGUUCCUUCCUCCCUGUUUCAUCAUGCUGCCCCAAAAUGCAGUCGAAAGCUCCAUAUAACACUGCAAGGUAGAGUAAUAAGGGUCUACCUGGCUCGGGCGAGACUAAGACUGGUGGUGUUGAUAGGUACUCCUUGAUUUUGUUGAAGGCCUUUUGGUAGUCAUCGGUCCAUUUGGUGGCGGUGUCCUUCUUUAACAUCUUAAAGAUCGGCUCACAGAUAACCGUAGACUGUGCUAUGAAUCGGCUGAUGUAGUUAAGCCUUCCCAAGAAACUCAUCACAUCCUUCUUGUUCCUUAGCGGUGGUAGUUCUUGAAUGGCUUUGACUUUCAAUGGGUCCAGUUCUAUUCCUCGGCGGCUAAAAAUAAACCCAAGCAAUUUCCCAGCAGGAACCCCAAAUGUGCACUUUGCGGGGUUUAGUUUUAGGUUGUAUCACCGCAGUCUAUUGAAGAACUUUCUUAGAUCUUCUAUGUGGUCAGUGGCCUUAUUGGAUUUGAUAAUAACAUCAUCCACAUAUACCUCUAUCUCCUUGUGUAUCAUAUCAUGGAAAAUAGUAGUCAUGGCCCUCAUGUAAGUGGCCCCUGCAUUCUUCAGGCCGAAUGACAUCAUCUUGUAACAGUACACUCCCCACGGCGUAAUGAAAGCCAUUUUCUCAACAUCUUCCUCAUCCAUCCAGAUCUGAUGAUAACCAACGAAGCAAUCUACGAAUGACUGUAGCUCAUGCUUCGCGCAAUUGUCAUUCAAGAUGUGUAUAUUUGGCAAAGGGAAGUCAUCUUUCAGACUGGCCCCGUUGAGAUCCCGGUAGUCGAUAUAGACUUUUACCUUCCCAUCCUUCUUUGGCACUGGCACAAUGUUGGCUAACCAUGUCGGGUAUUCUACUACCCUGAGAACCUUAGCGUUGAUCUUCUUGGUGACUUCUUUCUUGAUUUUCAAACUCAUAUCAGGCUUAAACUUUCUAAGCUUUUGCUUUAUCGGUGGACACAUUGGAUCGGUUGGCAGUUUGUGAGCCACAAUUGACGUACUCAGACCAAUCAUGUCAUCAUACGACUAUGCGAAUAUGUCCCCAUACUCCUUUAGAAAUUAUAUGUAUUCUUUCUUCUCUGAUGGAGAUAGGUGAAUGUUGAUUCGUGUUUCCUUGACGUUUUUUGUACCUCCCAGGUUGGCAAUUUCGGUCUCGUCCAGGUUGGACUUAUGUCUGUUCUCAAAGUUCUCAACUUCUUUGACAAUCUUGUCAGGUAUGUCAUCUUCUUCUAAAUCCAUGUCCGUUUGUUGCAUUGUCUUAUUGCAUAUCACAGUCAUUGGUUCAUCAAGACAAGUAAUUGUAAUGUUGUAUUGGUAAAGUAAGGAG
rnacentral:lncRNA from 1 species